AUGAGUUUACUCACUCAACUACAGGGGUUGUUGCUGCUGUGGCUUACAUGAUGACAGAUGUCACAUCCAGAUGACUCAGUCUCCAGCCUCCUCUUUCUGCAUCUCUGGGAGAAAGUGUCACCAUCACAUGUCAAGCAAGUGAGAAUAUUGACAAUUAUUUAUCAUGGUAUCAGCAAAAACCAAGGAAAUCUCCUCAGCCCCUGAUCAAUUAUACAACCAACUUUGCAGAUGGGGUUCCAUCAGGGUCUAGUGGCAGUGGAUCAGGCACACAGUUUUCUCUCAAGAUCAACAGCCUGCAACCAGAAGAUGUUGCAAGUCAUUACUGUCAACAUCAUUAUAGUACUCCUCC